rnacentral:rRNA from 1 species
CCUACGGGUGGCAGCAGUGGGGAAUAUUGGGCAAUGGAGGCAACUCUGACCCAGCAACGCCGCGUGAAUGAUGAAGGUCUUCGGAUUGUAAAGUUCUGUGAUGGGGGAUGAACACAAUGACGGUACCCCAAUAGCAAGCCACGGCUAACUACGUGCCAGCAGCCGCGGUAAUACGUAGGUGGCAAGCGUUAUCCGGAAUGACUGGGCGUAAAGGGUGCGUAGGUCGGCUUUUAAGUCAGCUGUGAAAGUCCGCGGCUCAACCGUGGAAUUGCAGUUGAAACUGGAGGCCUUGAGUGCACACAGGGAUGCCGGAAUUCAUGGUGUAGCGGUGAAAUGCUUAGAUAUCAUGAAGAACUCCGAUCGCGAAGGCAAGUGGCCGGGGUGCAACUGACGCUGAGGCUCGAAAGUGCGGGUAUCAAACAGGAUUAGAUACCCCGGUAGUC